rnacentral:rRNA from 1 species
UACAGAGGGGGCAAGCGUUGUUCGGAAUUACUGGGCGGAAAGGGCGCGUAGGCGGCCUGCUAAGUCGAACGUGAAAUCCCUGGGCUCAACCCAGGAACUGCGUCCGAUACUGGUUGGCUUGAAUCCGGGAGAGGGAUGUGGAAUUCCAGGUGUAGCGGUGAAAUGCGUAGAUAUCUGGAGGAACACCGGUGGCGAAGGCGACAUCCUGGACCGGCAUUGACGCUGAGGCGCGAAAGCCAGGGGAGCAAACGGG